rnacentral:rRNA from 1 species
CGCCUGGGGAGUACGGCCGCAAGGUUAAAACUCAAAUGAAUUGACGGGGGCCCGCACAAGCGGUGGAGCAUGUGGUUUAAUUCGAUGCAACGCGAAGAACCUUACCUGGUCUUGACAUCCACAGAACUUUCCAGAGAUGGAUUGGUGCCUUCGGGAACUGUGAGACAGGUGCUGCAUGGCUGUCGUCAGCUCGUGUUGUGAAAUGUUGGGUUAAGUCCCGCAACGAGCGCAACCCUUAUC